UUCAAUCAGUUUUGAUUGCUUGUUCCUCAACACACACACUUUAAGUCUCCAACAAUAGAAAUCAAUGACAUGAAGUGCAAAAAUCAGUAAAAUUAGUCCAUUGGUUGAGUCAUUUACAAAUAAAACAUGAUAUACAUCACAAAAUCAACACUCCAGAAUAGAGAAUACGGAGUUGAAAUCACAAAAUUACAAAAUUACAACUUCACAAAGAUUACAAAAAUAGCAUAACCAGUAGAUUUAUUGAAGAAUAGAAAUCAAACAGGGAAAUCACAACUUAUCGAAGAACAUAAAUCAAACCACCAUAGGAACCAAGCAUCCAAGCCAGUGUGAAAGGCACUUCCGAUGCAGGUAUGGAGGUGAACGACAUGGAAGCCACAAGAAUCAAAUCAAGCAUGGAGUUAAGGCAAUAUCUAGAGAUUAAAACCCAUCUAGCCUCCUCUUUUGAGCAACCCAGUUGGCAGUGGCCAUUAAUAUGGCGUUUAGAGAAAACAACUAAGAACCGAAAAUGAAGAAGAAGAAAAAGGGAAGGCAAGGAGGCAAAGGGGGAGAAAUGGAGGUGCAGGGGGAGAAAUAAAGGUGAGGCUCGUGGGUGAUGCUACGAUGGAUCUAAGUUUUGAGUAAAAAAAAACUAGAGAAGUGAGUGAUUUUAGGAAAGGUACAAAAUACAAGAAGCUAGUUCUCAGAGGGUAGCGGCGUAGGAAUAAGAAAGAUAGGCUUAGAGUUUCU
rnacentral:misc_RNA from 1 species